AUCUGUUUACAUGCCCUGUAAUGGGAUGCGAUCUGAAGCCUCCAGAAGAUUCCAUCCAACUCCUAUGCCGACACGUCCACGUCGUGCAGGGUGGUAACAUGGGACCAAGUCCAGCCAUUUGGCAGGAUGAAGGCUCAUGUUUAAGAAGGAGGGU
rnacentral:ribozyme from 1 species